UGUCAGAAAAUGAAGGAAACAUUGCAGAGUUUCAAGGGGAGGAAUAACACCUUGAGAAGUUGAAUAAUUUAUCAAAAUUUGGCUUAAGAUUUCCCAGAAUUGAUAAAAGCCACACAUUAUAGCACUGAGCAAGACAAGAAAAAAUCGAUACCCUGACCCACAUCAUAGUGAAACUGCAGGGCAUCAAAGACAAGAGAAAAUCCUAAAAGCAGGCAUAAGUAAAAGAUACAUUGCCUCAGAGAAACUGUUGGGCCAGCUGCAGUCUGUUAAUUAACUGAAGCCAGAAGACAAUGGAAUAAUGUCCUCAAAGGAGUGGGGGGAAAAUAACUGUCAUCUAGAAUUUUGUACCCAGCAAGACUACUACAGGCAUUUUCAACCUUGUAAGAAAUGAAUUUCCCAACUGCAAGCCCUGCAGAAAAAGCUACCAACGUUCAUACUUCUGGAAGAAGAAAACUGAACUUAGAAGAAGCGAAAUGCAUGAAAGAAUGCUACGUGUAAAAACUGCUUUCUUUGAGGAUGUGAUGUUUGGAACUGCUGCAGCGAUCUUGUGAUCAUGAGGAGAAGGCCAUAAUAACUGUCAAGAGUAUAGUGCCCUAAUAUUGUGGAUGUGUUGUGCCAUCAGUGUCUCUGGAAUCUCCUACUUCUAAGCUUCUUAGAAUGCUCCUGAAGUUGGUUAACUGAAGAGGUAAACAGAUCUCCUUCUCAAAGGUCUACUCAUCUCAGAAAUACACUUGGAGACACUUCAUUCAGCUUCAGUGUUCUUAGCAAAGACUUACUUUUGUGGUAUAAAAUAUAGAGCCGUGCUCCAAUUAUAUUCUUAUUUUUCCUUUAACCUAACUGAUGAUGGUUUUUAAGAGCCUUGAAGGUUAGAGAUACUGACUUAAAAGUAAUUCAGCAAAACUGACAUCUGAUGUAAAACCUGAAGUUAAAAGAGAUCGGACAUGUGUUGACCAAUCUCCUUCAACCACAUGUUUUAGCAGCUCCCUGGGAGGACAGUGGUCUUUCAGCCCAUUCAUGUGCUUGAGGAUGAAAAAUAUGUGCUGGUAUAGGCUGAAUAAGUGCGUGUAUACUAAGUCAUUAUGCUCAAACAAAGUAAAUGACAUCCAAUUAUCAUAAA